rnacentral:rRNA from 1 species
GAUGAACGCUGGCGGCGUGCCUAAUACAUGCAAGUCGAGCGAACAGAUGAGGAGCUUGCUCCUCUGACGUUAGCGGCGGACGGGUGAGUAACACGUGGAUAACCUACCUAUAAGACUGGGAUAACUUCGGGAAACCGGAGCUAAUACCGGAUAAUAUAUUGAACCGCAUGGUUCAAUAGUUAAAGACGGUUUUGCUUUCACUUAUAGAUGGAUCCGCGCCGCAUUAGCUAGUUGGUAAGGUAACGGCUUACCCAGGCAGCGAUGCGUAGCCGACCUGAGAGGGUGAUCGGCCACACUGGCACUGAGGCACGGUCCAGACUCCUACAGGAGGCAGCAGUAGGGAAUCUUCCGCGAUGGGCCAGAGCGUGACGGAGCAACGCCGCGUGAGUGAUGAUGGUCUUCGGAUCGUAGAACUCUGUUAGUAGUGAAGAACAAAUGUGUAAGUAACUAUGAUCGUCUUGACGGUACCUAGUCAGAAAGCCACGGCUAACUACGUG